rnacentral:rRNA from 1 species
UACGUAGGGUGCAAGCGUUAAUCGGAAUUACUGGGCGUAAAGCGUGCGCAGGCGGUUAUGUAAGACAGGUGUGAAAUCCCCGGGCUUAACCUGGGAACUGCAUUCGUGACUGCAUAGCUAGAGUACGGUAGAGGGGGAUGGAAUUCCGCGUGUAGCAGUGAAAUGCGUAGAUAUGCGGAGGAACACCGAUGGCGAAGGCAAUCCCCUGGACCUGUACUGACGCUCAUGCACGAAAGCGUGGGGAGCAAACAGG